GGCAGUGUGGCAUAGUGGUUUGAGUGUUAGAUUGUGGCUCUGGAGACCAGGGUUUGAUUCACAGCUUGGCCA